UCAUUUCCGGUUUCAAAGCGACAAGAAGGAAGUAACGAACUUUGGUGGAAAUGCUCGAAAGGGCAGACAUUUUGGAUUUCCUGUGGCGCAGCGAAAAGAUCGUGCUGAAGGUACAAAUUUGUGGAGAUUUACUCAAUUCUUGAGAUGGCGUCAUAGCAGCUCCCCGUGGCACAUGGUACAAUUUUACUUGCACGAGGAAAUGCGAAUAUGGACACAGGGAAAAAUCUGCCAAGAGUCACACGCAGCUUUUAUUAAUUCGAUUCGAUAAAAUUUUAAUGGACUUAUAUUUUCGGACAUGAUGGAAAAAAGUGUUUAUUUUUAUCCCGCUUUUACUGAAACGAUUGGAAAAAGUGUAUUUUAAUGGAAAUAUGAAUGGACUCAGUGUUGUUUGUGCGAACGGAGAAAAAAACUACGAAUUUUGACGCUGCAUUUCUUUAAUUGGAAACAUGGAUGGACCAAUUUUUGUGUAAAUAGAGGAAAAAACUACAAAUUUUCAAGCUGCUGUUAUCUUUUGGAAACCUGGAUGGACUAUUUUCGGACUUGGUGAUAAUAGUGUUAAUUUUCACGUCGCUUCUGCUCUGGAAUGAUUCACAUUUCAACUGAAGGAGACCUUUUUGCAGGAAGUAAAGUU